AGCUGGAUCAGCGUCAAUGACUCUCCAUGUGUAAGUAAAGGGGCUGCCGGACCUCCUGAGGGAUUUCCCAAAGUUGCUGGCCCACUGCUGUCCAUUAUAACAGAGGGUGGAAGGACCGUCUGCUGCCAGCAUGACAGAUUUCCGGCCACUCAGUUGGUUCCGAUACCUACAGGAAAAUCCAGCUUCAAGUUUGGAAUCAAAAGGUCAACGCUACAGCUAAAAGAUUUUAUCAAUUGUUACUGAAAGAAAGCACUUCAAAACAAAAUCAACU